rnacentral:lncRNA from 1 species
CUCAACAGCAUACAUGACAUUUCAGCUUACAAAAACACAGUAUGAAUAAGCCAAAUUAACAAGCAAUUGAUUAAUAUGCUAACAGAGUGACAUAACCUGCAAAAGAACAUAACCAGAGUGACAUAACUUGUAAAAUCACUAGUCGAGAGUGACAAAAACAAAAGUACAUAGCAGUUCAAUAAUAUGCUAACAGAAAAUCACUACUCCAUCAUAUCAGUUCUGUUUUUUUGUAGCCUUCCUCUUCCGACCAUUUGUUCCUGCUUGAGCUUGAA